GCAGAAAGCAAAUUCAUAUACUUUAUUCAUAGUCUUUGUAUGUUCAAAGUACAGAAAAACACAAACCGGAAGUCUAAUCUGACUUAAAGUUUUGUCCAAUGACGGGAAAAUAUCCGGACGCAUUCUUUUUCGUUUUUAUCCCAAAAUAACCCAAACUGAAUGAUCAUAAGAAUGGAUGACAAAUGCGACUAUACAUGUUACCUAUAGGACACAGAGGCAUGAUGAUUAAUUUAUUGUGGAAGGAGGAGAAGCGACACCCAAAAUGAGGUCUUCUCGUUUAAUAGUAUAGAUA
rnacentral:lncRNA from 1 species